rnacentral:misc_RNA from 1 species
AAUUUCUCUCAAAUACAUUAGUUUGAUCAGUUGGCAAUGAUAGCAUUGGAUCUAGAAGUCUAGAAGCUGUGGAUCAAAGCCCAAAACCAUUGAGAAUGUACUAUGGAAGAAAUAUGAGAAAGAAGGAUCAAGUAUAGAAAAGAAAAGAGGAGAAUGAGCUAGAAGUAUCUAGAAUUGCACAGCUAGAAUAAGUUGGCCAAAAACGUAAUCUAUUAGAGGGAAUUAAGGGGAGAAUGCUACCUAGAGAUGCUAACUAAAUGGGAAGCUCAAAUAUUUGUAUAAAUGGGACAGGAAGAGGAAGCAAGUAUAGAGAAAAUUACUGAGAAUUGGCUAUGAGCUGGGGCAAGGUCUUUUGCAUGGGAGUGUCACCCUGGACCUCUUUUAGAGGGUAUUUUCUUUAUAUUUCAUUUCUGUAUUAGUGAGUGAAAGUAAGCAAACCAUUGUUGAUUGAGAAACUGACUAUUAGUUGAAUCAUUCCAAUAUUUUAAUUCAGUUCAAGUUCUAUUUCUGCAAAUCCAAUCCAUUUCCAAUUUUCCCUAGUUAUUUUAAUCUUCUUGUUUUCUCAUUGUUAUCUUGUAUUCAGAAGUAUUUACUAGAAGAGAUAUCUAUCUAUAUCUGUGAAAGAUUUAUUGAAACAGGGCCUUCUGCCAUUAUUGACACAAACCAAAUUCACUCAAAUUAUAAUCUCUUUGUUCCUAACUCCAUCAUUUUAUGUAAACCCUACUUAUCUUUUCUUUGUUCCAACCAGAAUCAAGUAUCAACCCUAUUUUAGCCCUGAUUGUUGAGAUCUAAUUGACUUAAAUUCUUCGGCUAUGCCAAGCAAUCUUUUAAUAAUCCACAACGUGUGCAUCUUCAAUCUUGUCUUCUUCUCUUGUCAAUGUCAAUCUACAACCAAGUCAAGACGUAGAACAAAGGCAUCCUCAAAUGAGACAAAUGAAAGCAUAACCACUCACUCGGGUGUGGAAAAUAAGAAAGGUGGAUUCAAUCAAACUCCUUUGCCCACUACAGAUUCUAUUAACGGAAAAAUUGGAAGCAAUCACUUUUCCCUACUAAGUGACAAUUCAAUCCGGCCAGUUAUCUCAGUUAUUCUUUUCAUGUCAUCCUUUACUUAUUAUUGAAUAAUAACUUAUUUCAGGAUAUAUAUUUAAUAAUAAAGAUAUGGGUGGUAUACGAGCUACUAAUCCAUAAGAAUGAAAAAGCAUUCCAUUCGCCAAAUUUAUCUUAGCUACUUUAUCAUUCAUUAUAAUGCUUAAUAUACAUGUUAUCCUUAUAAGGCACUACAAUAGGCGUGCUAUGUCAUCUAAUAAAUUUUAAAUCAAUAAGACAUAAUUUCUAAGGGUGUGCAUGGUUUUUGGGAGAGUCUCAAAUUGAGCAAAAUACCCAUAUCAAACUGACCAAAUUUUAUGGUCUUGGUUCGGUUUCAAUUCUUCACUAUGAACUAAACCAAAAUAAUGUUGAACUUGUAUUAAAUAAAAGAACCAAUUUUAUUCAUAUGUUUUUCUAUAAUUUUUUAGAUAUAAUAUUUACUUUCAAUAUAUAUGCUUAAUUCUUAGUUAUAUAUACAUCUUAUAAUUAAAAACUAUAUAAUUAAGAAAUAGCUAAAACAAAGGCACCAGAGGCAUCGAGACGAGGUGCCGGAGGCACCCUCUUAACGUCUCUCCUGGCACGGCCUAACCUUGCUUCCAAGAGGCGGCCACCCCAAACUCCAAGGCAUUGAGCGAUGAUGAGAUGAGGCAACACCUUUGACAAGGAACGAUCACUUUUUGGUCUUUUUUCCUUUUUAAGUAUUUUUUAACAAAACCAAAAAUAAAAAACCUUAAAGCAGUACUAUUUUGUCAUGCUAAAAGGACUAAGCUCCUCAACCAGCAACAGUUCCUCUCUUUUCCUUUCUCUCUCUCUCUCUC